CCUACUCCCCGUUUUUUUCGUUCGCUUCCCCUCCUCCCUUCCGUCGUUCUGCUCGACAGCGCGAGAGGGAGUGCUGCUUCUUCUCCCUCACCGGCAACGGUCCUCCGCUCGCCCUCCCCCUUCGCUCGCCCUCCACUUCCCCUCCGUUCCUUUCGCAGCUCCCAUCCAGCGCCUAGUCCUUCCUCGUCGAAACCCUAGCUCUUGCACCGAAUGCCGCUGACCCAACCUCGCUGCGCCGGCGACCCGACCUCGCCGUGCUGGCCGCCAAUGAGGAAGAGGGCCGCCUGUCCCGCACCACUUGGAUCCAUCAGGAUUCAGGCCUCCGGCGCCACCGGCAUCGACGACCCAGCUUCGACCUCACAGCGCCACCUCGUCGAUGCCGGCGAUUGCCCCUCCACCGCGUACGUCCUUGCAAGCAUGACGCCAGAUAGGCAAGCCACCAUCGAUAGCACUACAGAAGGACCAACGCCAAUAGCCAAAUCCUACAAGCUAGCAAGGGCCACCCCUCCUGCGCCACUUGGACCCGCGAGGUCCCGGGCCUCCUGUGCUACUUCACUUCAUCCUGCUUGCCCUUCUUCUUCUUGUCUUCUUCGAGUGGAUGCUCUUGGAGGGAUUUCCGUAGAUUUAUGCACUCAAGAAUUGUGUGCCUUGCUUUUGGAUGCAAAGGGCAAGGUUUUGCGAGGAGCUUCUGGAAGUUGUCCUGCUGGCUUCCCUUUUUACUGCACUGGCCUCGAUCAACCGUUGCAACGGUGUCACCUAGCCUGCGCCUCUUGUCCCCAUUGCACUGGUUCUUGUCGGUGCGCGAAUCGUCGUUGCGCCUUUCAUUGUUAUCAUUAUAUUGACGCAAAAAUCAACACACUGGAAUCUAAGGGCAAGUGUUCACCAA